CUUACACAUGCAAGUUAAACGAUGAAGCCCAGCUUGCUGGGUGGAUUAGUGGCGAACGGGUGAGUAACACGUGAGCAACCUGCCCCUGACUCUGGGAUAAGCGCUGGAAACGGCGUCUAAUACUGGAUAUGUCCCGUCACCGCAUGGUGUGCGGGUGGAAAGAUUUUUCGGUUGGGGAUGGGCUCGCGGCCUAUCAGCUUGUUGGUGAGGUAAUGGCUCACCAAGGCGUCGACGGGUAGCCGGCCUGAGAGGGUGACCGGCCACACUGGGACUGAGACACGGCCCAGACUCCUACGGGAGGCAGCAGUGGGGAAUAUUGCACAAUGGGCGGAAGCCUGAUGCAGCAACGCCGCGUGAGGGAUGACGGCCUUCGGGUUGUAAACCUCUUUUAGCAGGGAAGAAGCGAGAGUGACGGUACCUGCAGAAAAAGCACCGGCUAACUACGUGCCAGCAGCCGCGGUAAUACGUAGGGUGCAAGCGUUAUCCGGAAUUAUUGGGCGUAAAGAGCUCGUAGGCGGUCUGUCGCGUCUGCUGUGAAAUCCCGAGGCUCAACCUCGGGCUUGCAGUGGGUACGGGCAGACUAGAGUGCGGUAGGGGAGAUUGGAAUUCCUGGUGUAGCGGUGGAAUGCGCAGAUAUCAUGAGGAACACCGAUGGCGAAGGCAGAUCUCUGGGCCGUAACUGACGCUGAGGAGCGAAAGGGUGGGGAGCAAACAGGCUUAGAUACCCUGGUAGUCCACCCCGUAAACGUUGGGAACUAGUUGUGGGGUCCUUUCCACGGAUUCCGUGACGCAGCUAACGCAUUAAGUUCCCCGCCUGGGGAGUACGGCCGCAAGGCU
rnacentral:rRNA from 1 species